rnacentral:rRNA from 1 species
UACAGAGGGUGCGAGCGUUAAUCGGAAUUACUGGGCGUAAAGCGCGCGUAGGCGGCUUUGCAAGUCGGGUGUGAAAUCCCCAGGCUUAACCUGGGAACUGCAUUCGAGACUGCAUUGCUAGAGUAUGGGAGAGGGAAGUGGAAUUUCCGGUGUAGCGGUGAAAUGCGUAGAUAUCGGAAGGAACAUCAGUGGCGAAAGCGACUUCCUGGACCAAUACUGACGCUCAUGUGCGAAAGCGUGGGGAGCAAACAGA